GAUGAACGCUGGCGGCGUGCCUAAUACAUGCAAGUCGAGCGAACAGAUGAGGAGCUUGCUCCUCUGACGUUAGCGGCGGACGGGUGAGUAACACGUGGAUAACCUACCUAUAAGACUGGGAUAACUUCGGGAAACCGGAGCUAAUACCGGAUAAUAUAUUGAACCGCAUGGUUCAAUAGUGAAAGACGGUUUUGCUGUCACUUAUAGAUGGAUCCGCGCCGCAUUAGCUAGUUGGUAAGGUAACGGCUUACCAAGGCAACGAUGCGUAGCCGACCUGAGAGGGUGAUCGGCCACACUGGAACUGAGACACGGUCCAGACUCCUACGGGAGGCAGCAGUAGGGAAUCUUCCGCAAUGGGCGAAAGCCUGACGGAGCAACGCCGCGUGAGUGAUGAAGGUCUUCGGAUCGUAAAGCUCUGUUAUUGGGGAAGAACAAAUGUGUAAGUAACUAUGCACGUCUUGACGGUACCUAAUCAGAAGGCCACGGCUAACUACGUG
rnacentral:rRNA from 1 species